rnacentral:tRNA from 1 species
GUGGAUGUAGCUCAGUUGGUUAGAGCACCAGAUUGUGGUUCUGGGGGUCGUGGGUUCAAGUCCCAUCUUCCACCCCA